rnacentral:rRNA from 1 species
GACGAACGCUGGCGGCGUGCCUAAUACAUGCAAGUAGAACGCUGAAGGAGGAGCUUGCUCUUCUGGAUGAGUUGCGAACGGGUGAGUAACGCGUAGGUAACCUGCCUGGUAGCGGGGAUAACUAUUGGAAACGAUAGCUAAUACCGCAUAACAGUAGAUGUUGCAUGACAUUUACUUAAAAGGUGCAAUUGCAUCACUACCAGAUGGAACUGUGUUGUAUUAGCUAGUUGGUGGGGUAACGGCUCACCAAGGCGACGAUACAUAGCCGACCUGAGAGGGUGAUCGGCCACACUGGGACUGAGACACGGCCCAGACUCCUACGGGAGGCAGCAGUAGGGAAUCUUCGGCAAUGACGGAAGUCUGACCGAGCAACGCCGCGUGAGUGAAGAAGGUUUUCGGAUCGUAAAGCUCUGUUGUAAGAGAAGAACGAGUGUGAGAGUGGAAAGUUCACACUGUGACGGUAUCUUACCAGAAAGGGACGGCUAACUACGUG